AACAACCAGAUGGCGCGUAUUCGAUGUCACGUGUACCGCUGCAUGCAAGCGCCAGAGACACCCGUGUAUUUUGACCUUCUGUGCUACUCGUAGCGCGUGCUCGUGUGGCAUCAGCUACUAGCCUUUCCCCUCCCCUUUCCAUACACCCCCUCUCUCCGUCCUGUUUCGUCGCUGCGUUUCUGACGAGACAGGGUUUUUUUUUUUUUUUUUUUUUUUUCAAAAUAUGGCCGCCGCUUCUUCAGAUAGCAGUGGCGAGAAGGACAGCCCCGCAAGUAGUAGCGAGGGUAGUCAAGUGCGGUGUACCAACACCAACGACCAGCCACCUCCAUCAGCUGUACAGAAGAUGGGAGCAGAGGGUAAAAGGGGCGCUGUUGAAGAGGAGGAGGAGGAUGAAGAAGAAGAAGAAGAAGAUGGUGAUGAUGAAGACGACAACGAAGUGGAGGAAGAUGACGAGAUGGGCAGCGAUAGUGCUGGUGGCGAAGAGGAGAGUUGCGAGCAGAGGAGUCCGGACAGUAGCCAGGGCGAUGUGGGCAAAGGUGACCCUAAGGUAGAGAGCGAGUCAUCAUCGUCCUACUCCAGUGACUGCAAGGAUCAGACUCGCAACCGGCCGGAGAGUAACGGCGAGCAAAACGGCGGCGGCGACGGCGGAGGAGGAGGAGCAGGAGGAGGAGGCUGUGGCGGCGGUGGUGGUGCGGGUGGUGGUAGCAGUAGUUGUGGUGGCAGAGGUGUAUCAGAAGGUGGCGGCCAGCGUAGAGCCAGCAUGGAAAUGAGUUCUUCGGAUGGAGAGCCACUGAGCCGCAUGGACUCCGAGGACAGCAUUAGCAGCACCUUAAUGGACCAAGAUAGCAUCAUAUCCAGUGGGCGGUCAACACCAGCUAUGAUGAAUGGUAAAAGUAUUGCCUACACCUGCUGCUGGGACCAGUGCCAUGCUUGCUUCAAUUCCAGUCCUGACUUAGCAGAGCACAUUCGCUCUGUUCAUGUUGAUGGCCAGCGUGGUGGGGUAUUUGUGUGCUUAUGGAAAGGCUGCAAAGUGUACAAUACUCCAUCAACCAGCCAGAGCUGGCUUCAGAGGCACAUGUUGACACACAGUGGAGACAAGCCUUUUAAGUGUGUGGUGGGUGGGUGUAAUGCAAGUUUUGCAUCACAAGGUGGCCUCGCCCGGCAUGUCCCCACACAUUUCAGCCAGCAGAAUUCUUCAAAAGUUUCCAACCCACCAAAGGUCAAGGAGGAAUCUCCAUCUAAAGCAGGAAUGAACAAGCGAAGACGUUUAAAAAACAAGCGUAGAAGGUCACUACCAAGGCCGCAUGACUUCUUUGAUGCUCAGAUAAUGGAUGCAAUUCGGCACCGAGCCAUUUGCCUAAACUUGGCAACACACAUUGAGAGUCUAGGCAAUGGCCAUAGUGUUGUUUUCCACAGCACGAUAAUAGCAAGAAGAAAAGAAGAGUCUGGGAAGAUUAAGGUUCUACUUCACUGGACACCUGAGGACAUUUUACCAGAUGUGUGGGUAAAUGAAAAUGACCGACCUCAGCUGAAAACAAAAGUUGUACAUUUAUCAAAGCUGCCACAAGACACAGCGGUUCUUUUGGAUCCAAAUAUUUACAGGAACACCUGGAUGGGAAAAUGUUCUAUGGAUGGAUGAGACAGAAAUGGAACUUUUUGGACAACAUGAAUCUUAAUAUGUCUGGUGCAAAGAAAACCGCACUCCACGGCAGCAACAUCAUUCUCAACAGUCAAACAUGGUGGUGUUUUGCAGCAUCAGGCCCCGGACCACUUGUCAUAAUUGAAGGAAGCAGAAAGUCUGAAAAUUAGAAGAUUGCCUGGUCAUCCAUCCUUGACCUAAAACUGAAGCAUAUUUGGGUCAUGUUGCAAGACCACAAAAGCAAAUCCACAUCCAAAUUGGUGAAAUGAAAUAUAAUUAAAGUUUUGGCCUCCUCUACUCAAAGUUCACCUAAAACUAAUACAGAUGCUGUGGCAGACCUGAGCUUGAAACAUGUUUUUAAAUAAAGUAGUUUUUCAAAAUUCUUCCACAGCAACAUGAAAAGAUUAACAUCGUAUUAAAGCAGUUUGGUUGAAGACCUGAAUCCAUUCAGUGUCAAAAAUUCACUGUAAUAGAGAAAAUCAGUUUAUGGAAAUUUGUGCAAAUACUUUUUUGUGUUGAUUUUGGGAAGGAACCAUUUUCAUAAUUGUAAAUGGCAUAUUUAUAUCUGUAUGUGAACAUGUGAAUACAAGUGUAACAAAUACAUAUAAAUAUCUUUAGUCAUGUACAUGUACCUUUUGAUAAUGUUUUGACCUCUGUCUCCUCUGUACAAUUUUUAAUUGUCCUAGCAUAUUGUAUUCUAUUCAUGGCAGAAAAAUAAAGAAAUGUAUUGGUGAAAAUAGCACAUUUAAAAUAAAGUAUUUGCUGGUAACAAUUAGUCAAUUAGUCCCAUUGGGAUUAAUAAAGUAUCUAUCUAUCUAUCUAUCUAAAAGUAUUUUAAAAUCCUUAUCUUCCUACACUUUAUCACUGUAUUUUUACAAAAUCAUCUUUGUUGUUUCUCCCUAGAACAAUGCCACAGAAGAGGCUGAAGCGAAGGAUGUUCUUCUAGAACAAGACGGUGCUCUCUUGUCGUUUCCUGCUGCUAUUUCUGGACAAGGAGACGUAAUAAACUGGGAUUUUAUGUUUGUAUUUUUCAAUAGUUUUUCUAGUGCGCCAAAGUUUGCAGCCAAUUUUCCUAUAAUGUUAUUUUUUGAUUAUGAAUAUAUCACAGAAUUUCAUUGUGUUGUGUAUUAUUUGAAGAAAAAUGUGGAUUUUGUUUUUUUUUUUUUUUUUUGUUUUGUUUUUUUUUUAAUAGUUGGAGCUAAAAUUAGCUCCUUGUAAUAUGUUAGCUUAAUAGAAGGUGAAUUAUUGUUGCAAAUAGAAAAAUAGUGCUUGUAAAUAUUUUUGCAGAUUUGUAAUAUAUUUUUAUACCAUAAAAUGUACUGUAGAUUUUUUUGGCAUGAAAACUAAAUUGUAUAUACUGUGGUAGGAAUAAUGUUGAAGGAUUAUGUAAUUGAUUAGUGCUAAAUAGCUGUUUGAAACAGGCGCACCUUUCUUGCUAACAUUAUUUAAUUAGCAGACACUAUGUGGAUUAUGUGCUGAUUCUAUAUUUGCAGACACUUCUGUUUUGUAUCUUUAAAAGUGCUGUUCUGGAUUUAAAGCUUAAACAGAAUUAAUUUAAUAUCUGAUCAUGUGAAAUACUGAAUGUGUAUAUCUAAAUAACGUUUUUUUUUUAGUUUAUACAAGUUAAAAACAAUAGUUGUACCUUUAAGCACUUGAUUAUUCUUUUGCAAAUUCUGUAUUUUAAGGGGAGAAAAAAUAAAAUGUGCUUUAGCUUUUGCUGUUAAUUAAGUUUUUGUAAUAAAACAAAACAUAUGAAAAGCUUAUCCAA